rnacentral:rRNA from 1 species
UACGAAGGGGCUAGCGUUGUUCGGAAUUACUGGGCGUAAAGCGCACGUUAGGCGGGUUUGUAAGUAGGGGGUGAAAUCCCAGGGCUCAACCCUGGAACUGCCUUCUAAAACUGCAGCCUGGAGGUCAGGAGAGGCGAGUGGAAUACCGAGUGUAGAGGUGAAUUCGUAGAUAUUCGGGUGGAAACACCAGUGGCGAAGGCGACUCGCUGGACUGAUACUGACGCUGAGGUGCGAAAGCGUGGGGAGCAAACAGG